rnacentral:rRNA from 1 species
UACGUAGGGGGCAAGCGUUAUCCGGAUUUAUUGGGCGUAAAGAGCUCGUAGGCGGCCGUUCGCGUCGGAUGUGAAAGCUCAGGGCUCAACUCUGAGAUGCCAUUCGAUACGGGACGGCUAGAGGUAGGUAGGGGAGAGUGGAAUUCCUGGUGUAGCGGUGAAAUGCGCAGAUAUCAGGAGGAACACCGGUGGCGAAGGCGGAUCUCUGGACGGUUUCUGACACUAAGACACGAAAGCGUGGGGAGCAAACAGG